rnacentral:rRNA from 1 species
UGGGGAAUUUUGCGCAAUGGGCUAACGCCUGACGCAGCAACGCCGCGUGGAGGAUGAAGGUCCUUGGAUUGUAAACUCCUGUCAGCAGGGAAAAAGCGACUUAGCCUAAUACGCUAGGGAGUUGAUUGUACCUGCAGAGGAAGCCCCGGCUAACUCUGUGCCAGCAGCCGCGGUAAUACAGAGGGGGCAAGCGUUAUUCGGAAUUAUUGGGCGUAAAGGGCGCGUAGGCGGCAUGGCAAGUGGAUGGUGAAAUCCCUCGGCUUAACCGAGGAACUGCCAUCCAGACUGCUUUGCUUGAGGCCGGGAGAGGUGAGUGGAAUUCCCAGUGUAGCGGUGAAAUGCGUAGAUAUUGGGAGGAACACCAGUGGCGAAGGCGGCUCACUGGACCGGUUCUGACGCUGAGGCGCGAAAGCGUGGGGAGCAAACGG